UACGAAGGGGGCUAGCGUUGUUCGGAUUUACUGGGCGUAAAGCGCACGUAGGCGGAUCGUUAAGUCGGGGGUGAAAUCCUGGAGCUCAACUCCAGAACUGCCUUCGAUACUGGCGAUCUUGAGUCCGGAAGAGGUGAGUGGAACUCCUAGUGUAGAGGUGGAAUUCGUAGAUAUUCGGAAGAACACCAGUGGCGAAGGCGGCUCACUGGACCGGUAUUGACGCUGAGGUGCGAAAGCGUGGGGAGCAAACAGG
rnacentral:rRNA from 1 species